AGCAGCCGCGGUAAUUCCAGCUCCAAUAGCGUAUAUUAAAGUUGUUGCAGUUAAAAAGCUCGUAGUUGAAUUUCGGGAUCAAGUCGUCGGUCGUGCCUCGGUACGCACUGGUGACAUUGGUUUCUCCCUUCUGAAGAACCUUGAUGUCAUUAAUUUGGUGUCUUGGGGAAUCGGGACUGUUACUUUGAAAAAAUUAGAGUGUUUAAAGCAGGCUCACGCUUGAAUACAUUAGCAUGGAAUAAUGAAAUAGGACGUUUGAUUCUAUUUUGUUGGUUUCUAGGAUCGACGUAAUGAUUAAUAGGGAUAGUUGGGGGCAUUAGUAUUCAAUUGUCAGAGGUGAAAUUCUUGGAUUUAUUGAAGACUAACUACUGCGAAAGCAUUUGCCAAGGAUGUUUUCAUUAAUCAAGAACGAAAGUUUGGGGAUCGAAGACGAUCAGAUACCGUCGUAGUCUUAACCAUAAACUAUGCCGACUAGGGAUCGGAUGAUGUUAAUUUUUUAAUGACUCAUUCGGCGCCUUAC
rnacentral:rRNA from 1 species